rnacentral:rRNA from 1 species
CCCUUAGAUGUUCUGGGCGGCCCGCGCACUACAUUGGCACUAGCAAAGAGAUCCUAGAUUGAAUUCUUUGGGGUAUUCUUCUAAAUGGUGUCGUGACUGGGAUAAAUCCUUGUAAUUAUUGGUUUUGAACGAGGAAUUCCUUGUAAUCGCGGUUUAUCAGCUCGCGUUGAAUGCGUCCCUGCCCUUUGUACACACCGCCCGUCGCUCCUACCGAUGGAUCGUCCGGUGAAGCUCACGGAGUGACUGUUCACGCAACGGUUUACGAAGCGAAAUGGACCUCACGAUUUAGAGGAAGGAGAAGUCGUAACA